UACAGGGGGGGCAAGCGUUGUUCGGAAUUACUGGGCGUAAAGGGUCUGUAGGUGGCUUGCUAAGUCAGACGUGAAAUCCCUCAGCUUAACUGGGGAACUGCGUCUGAUACUGGCGAGCUUGAGUGCAGGAGAGGAACGCGGAAUUCCAGGUGUAGCGGUGAAAUGCGUAGAUAUCUGGAGGAACACCGGUGGCGAAGGCGCGUUCUGGACUGCAACUGACACUGAGAGACGAAAGCCAGGGGAGCAAACAGGG
rnacentral:rRNA from 1 species